rnacentral:tRNA from 1 species
AAUAGCUCAGUUGGUAGAGCAUAACCUUGCCAAGGUUAGGGUCGCGAGUUCGAGUCUCGUUUUCCG